rnacentral:lncRNA from 1 species
UUUUUUUUUUUUUGAGUUGUAUGAAAAGUUAGCAAUUGCCCAGUUCUUGGAUUUUGAACCUGGGAACCUUGGAUUGAAGUUGGAGAUCCCCCUAAACUCCUUGAAAUUGUAUGCAGAAAUAGUGGGAGUGUGAAUUUUUGGGGAAUGAGGAUCCAUCACCAGCAAGUUUUGUUUUGUUUUUUUUUUUUUUUUGCCAGCAAGUUUUCAAAGGGGGCUGUGACCCAGAAGAGUUAAGAACUAUGAUUCUUUUACUAAGAUGGCCAAAAUGCUUCUUUGAUAAUUGUCACCUGCUUUUCUCAAAUUCCAUACCGUUGUCCAGCAAACACUAUAGAAAUGUUUGAACAGUUGGAUUUCAAACACUUUCAUUUUUUGGGGUGGUGCUUACCAAUGGUUCAGCUCUAAGCAAGUGAACAUAAACACAUGUAAGUGUAUUUUGCCUGGUUAGGAGUUUAUCUGUUUUGCUAUUCCAUACAAAUGUCUGAGAGGCAACAGUGUCCGAUGAAAGCAAAUUGUUUGGAAACCAUGCCUUUCUCCUUGGCUUUGCUAUGCCGUAAUCCCUUGUUUUCCAUACUUGGAAUCCUACUUCCAUCCAUAUUGUUGGACUAUCUGACGUGAAGCUACGAGAGCUAUGGCCUAGCCCCCUUUCCGCAGGCCGAUUGCCCCCUGCAGACUGAUCUGUGGAGUGCAGGGCUCCUGGGGCCGGGUAUAUGGGAGCACGUAAGCACUUGGCAGUCCGUUUGCCCCGACCCCAUGUUCCCUGUGGCAGCGGAACCCACAGGCUUCAGGAAGAGCAGUUGCACUUGCUGGCUUUGCUGAUGCAAACGACCCUUCUUUCGUGUAUCUGGUAUCCCCAUUCCGUUCCUGUACAUGACAUGCCUCUUCUGAAUUUGGUGUCCUGGCCUCUUUAGCAGCCUGCUCCCUUUGUGCUGGCCUGAUCAAGGCAUUUCUGAUGUCCUUCUUCAAAAAGUGGAACGUUGAAGCCAAAUCUCGUGCAGUUUGAAUGUUGAGAUUCCCAAAAGGAAGCGAUGCAGAGAGUAGUUUUCUCCAACUUCGGCUCUCAAGGCCUCCUGGGAGAGCUUCUCACAGAACCACGUUGCCUCCAGCCGUUCCUCCGUGCUUCUGAUUAGCUUCAGAGCCUGGGCAAGGUAUGAACGUGUGACCAUCUUGCAAGAAGGGAACCGAGGAUCGCAAACACCUAAUUUUCUUCAGGCCACACCGCCAGUUGGCGGCAGGGCUGGGCAUGGCUCGGCAGGGGUACGCCACGCUCCCUGAGGUCUCCUAGAAUGAUGAGGAAGACUCACGUCGCCUACUGUGGUGCCCCCAAGUACAGGAUGGCCGAAGGCCCUGUGGAUUGCCUGUGACACGUUUCUCUUCGGGGGCCAGGUGUACAACUAGGCCCGGUGCCGCGGUGCUGGCAACUGAGGGUCUGAAAGGACUUUGCUUAGGCCACAGGAUAAAGAAGUGUCAGACGUCUGAGUGGAACCUGGAGAGCUGGGACCCAGAACCCAAGCUCCUGGGCGGGAUGGAGUGGAGGUUUCCCAGCACGCAGAGGUGCUGCCUGGUCCGUGUCCUCCCAGGCGGAGCGGCGUCUUGUCCGAGGUCACUCUGAGGCCACAGCAGUGCACUGCUUUGUUGUCUCCUCUCAGAAAGGACGUGACGGACCCGGAGGUUGCGGGCAGGUAGAGGCCUCGUUAUUGAAGGUGUCGUGGGUCAGUCGUAUGCCCAGAAGCCAGCUUCUGAAUGAAUGUUGAAAGCAGCAGCUCCUCCACGUUGGCAUCUGGCCUGAGACUGCCACGGCUGAAAGCAGAAGUUGGGGACUUGCACGCUCCCCUCCUGUGAAGUGAGGGGACAUACGGUCUUGCCAGAGGACGUGGCCACAAGCGGUGCUGCAGCCAUUGGCCCUUUGCUCAACGAGGUGAUGUCGAUGGGCUGAGGUGCAGCAAGCUGGGGCAGAGAGCCUGUGCCGGCCAUUGCCGGCCUCCCAGGGGGUUUUGCCAAGCUCAGGAGGCAAGGGGACGGGACAGUGUUUCCCUUUGCCUUGGGCCGCUUGCCAGGAGCUUCAGGGCCUCUGCCGGCCCGCAGGGCCAGCCCAGCAGUAAACUCAUCGCAGACGCAGUGCGUGAGUGGUCUUCAAACCUCUGCAAGAGGAGAGGCUCUCUGGGAAGGCCAGCCUGGUGUCCCAAGAUGGCUGUGUUCGGACGCCUGCUGCCAGGCAGGCACUGCAGAGAGGCUCCGUUACCACCGCCAGCACCCCGCCCCCCUUCCGGAGGAAGCCGCGGGAACUCAGAGCUGUGGGGCUUUGUCCUUGCUGCACCUUCUUGGCUGCUCCAGAGGCUCGCGCGUUUGCCUGGCCAAAGGGUGCUCUUUGGUCACAGCAUCCCGAGGGUGGAUUCCUUGCUCCUGACCGGACCUGUGGACAUGGCUGUGCUUCCAGGGGAGUCCCAUGGAGUCACUCGGCACCUCGUUCUAUCGAGAUUGAUACGUGGACGACGUGUGCGGCAUGGCUCGUACCCAGCUCCACUGUGGCCGCUUGAAGCCUUAAGUACACAGCGAGGGCCUGCUCUCCUUGAUCUCGAGGUUCACGAUCUUUUGCAGCACGUUCUUGGAAUCCGAAUUCCAUUUUAGUAAUUGGCGUGCUGUCCUUGGAUUUGGUGCCUCAGACUCUUUUGCUUUCCUGUGUGUGGAAUCCUAAUUCCAUUGAUAUUGUUGAAAUCUCUCAUGAGCCCCGCUCCCUGCCCUCUUCGUACUCAGGCUUUUUCCUGGCCCCAGCCUGAUCUGUGGCCCGUUCUAGUGCCCCUGCAGAUUCGCGAGGGUCCUGCUGACCAGCCAUCCCACCAGGGAUAAUGUAAGAAGACGAGUGUACCUACGUUCAGGACAUGUCUUCUUAUCCCCAGGUUCGCUGUGGCUGAUGAAACCAAGGUACUGGGAAAGCUCAUACGGUCUCCUUGGCUUUGGUGCUCCAGAGUCCUUUGUUUUCUUCUGUUUGAAAAACUAAUUCCAUUGAUAUUGUUGAGCUGAAACUAUUGUUGCAACAAAGGCCCAAUUUUUUCCUCCAGUGUGCAUUUCAUUUCUUCAGUUAAGGCCUUCAGAGACAUGGUAAAUUUGGACCAGGGGAUUUUUAGUUACCAACACUGAAGAAACCCUAAGGUUUAAGAACAGACUCUCCAUAACCCAUGAGCAGGUGUGGCCUAAGCUGAGGGCCCUCUAUGAGACUGGGCCACUCCCGGACCCCCAUCGAUAUCGGCCAGGUGACUGGGUAUACGGGCAGAGAUACCAACACUGGACACUUCAACCUCGCUGGAAGGGACCCUACAUCGUGAUCCUGAACCACUCCCACCGCUCUCAAGGUUUACGGGGAUUACUCCCUGGGUCCACUACACCCACGUCCAGCCAGCUGACCCACACGCCAUUCUCAAGGACUUUGUUCCAGAAUGGAAAAGCCAACUGGACAAGGACAAUCCCCUAAAAGCUAAGACUGCGCCGUUCUCACUUAUUUCCCACCUCCAAGACUCCCUAGUCUGAGGUUGUCCUUCAAAAUAGAAGGGGAUUAGACUUAGUCUUCUUACAACAAAGGGUGGGGGUGGAGGGGUUAUGUGCUGCCUUAAGCGUAGGAUGUUGCUUUUUUGCUGGAAUGUAAAUGAGAGCGAGAAAAGCAACAAAGUUGGUUACAAUCCUGGUUUAAUCAUUCCCCCUGGCUCACUCUGAGAGCAACCUGGACCCAUGAUUGGGUCCUGCAUAGGAUCCUCUGAAAAAGGGGGGAAUGUGGGGCCCAGGAAAUUUAACAAAAAUCCCCUACCCCUGGACAAGCAGAGACCAUGCCCAGGGCAUACCCUAAUCGGAAAUCCGCUCAGUGAUAGGCCAGUUCAAAUGGAUACUUUAGGGUAAAAUGUAAUUCAAUCGGCCACCUGCUUGUGGACCCACAUGACUGUGCAACUUUCUGCGUAUCCCAUUGGCCACUGGUCCCCAUAAAGCUGCUAUGCCUUUUGGUCUCAGGGUCCAA